CUUUUAUUGGACGUGAUCGUCACGUGUUGCGCUUUUAUUGGACGUUAAUUUCAUGCACUUAAUUAACAUCGGCCUCCAAUAAAAACACGACACAUGACAAUCAAUGUCC
rfam:Glycine soja cultivar W05 scaffold443_10, whole genome shotgun sequence.